rnacentral:lncRNA from 1 species
AUCGACAGAGGCUGUAGGUCUGGGAAAAGCGCCAUGAGGCCAGAGGGCGCUGUCUCUCCCUCAGGUUGGAGAGGGACGGAGAGGCGCUGAGAUUCACGCAUGCGCCCCUCCUCCUAGAGGGCCCGGCGAGACCCAGCCAAAAUUGGUCCGCUCCGCUGGGCUUUUUUCCCCCAUACAGGGGCUGAAUCUUUUGUGUACGCAUGCGUCUUGCCCAGGCUGCGGUUGGCUGACGACUCCAGCCGUCAUUGGAAGAACCAAUGGGGUCUCGUCCUGAGCCCCAGCUUCAUCCAUGCAGCUGCCUACCAGAAUCCCUCCUAUGGCUUCUAACCAGACAAUUCUCCUUAGUCUGGGGCUGCCUCUGCUUCUGACAGAGCACCUGGAAGAUACUCUCACCUGAAAACCCCACCUCAGACACCUUGAAACGCCCCCCACCGCAGGCUAACUGCCUUCUUUCCUGCUGAGGGGAAGCUCCGAGCUCACACAGUGGCAGGGCCACGCCGUCCUUCUUUCUCCCCCUCAGCUGACCGACCGCACCAAAGAAACCAGAACCCAAGCCGAAGUAUCAGAAACGUGUAUUCUUUUUCUUUUAAUAGUAAACC